CUUAUUACCCUUCUGUAUUUAUGAUAUACUGUUAGAUAUAUUUAUAUUUAUUUAACUAGGCAAGUCAGUUAAGGACAAAUUAUUAUUUUCAAUAAUGACGGCCUAGGAACAGUGGGUUAACUGCCUGUUCAGGGGCAGAACGACAGAUUUGUACCUUGUCGGUUCAGGGGAUUUGAAUUUGCAGCCUUCCGGUUACUAGUCCAACACUCAAACCACUAGGCUACCCUGCCGCCAUAUAUACACACACAUAUGUACAAGGACAUGUCUUGAAAUGACUGGGGCAUCUAGCUGGGCGAUAUGGACAAAAAUCCAUAUUGCAGUAAAUGACCUGAAUUGAUGAGGUCACGAUAAGUUUAACAUUUAGGUUUUAUUAGGAUCCACAUUAGCCGACACAUGUGUGACAGCUAGUGUUACUGGAGUCCAACACCACAACCUAGCAGACAUUACAGACUAAAUACAUUUACAUACAAUUAAAAACAUGAACAAGUAGUGUGUUUGUGCAUCUUUCAGUUCCACAUACACAUCAGUACAGACACACAACCAGUAGGCCACACGUCAGUACAGACACACAACCAGUAGGCCACACGUCAGUACAGACACACACAACCAGUAGGCCACACGUCAGUACAGACACACACCAGUAGGCCACACGUCAGUACAGACACACAACCAGUAGGUCACACGUCAGUACAGACACACACCAGUAGGUCACGCGUCAGUACAGACACACACCAGUAGGUCACGCGUCAGUACAGACACACACCAGUAGGUCACGCGUCAGUACAGACACACAACCAGUAGGUCACGCGUCAGUACAGACACACAACCAGUAGGUCACGCGUCAGUACAGACACACAACCAGUAGGUCACGCGUCAGUACAGACACACAACCAGUAGGUCACGCGUCAGUACAGACACACAACCAGUAGGUCACGCGUCAGUACAGACACACAACCAGUAGGUCACGCGUCAGUACAGACACACAACCAGUAGGUCACGCGUCAGUACAGACACACAACCAGUAGGUCACGCGUCAGUACAGACACACAACCAGUAGGUCACGCGUCAGUACAGACACACAACCAGUAGGUCACGCGUCAGUACAGACACACAACCAGUAGGUCACGCGUCAGUACAGACACACAACCAGUAGGUCACGCGUCAGUACAGACACACAACCAGUAGGUCACGCGUCAGUACAGACACACAACCAGUAGGUCACGCGUCAGUACAGACACACAACCAGUAGGUCACGCGUCAGUACAGACACACAACCAGUAGGUCACGCGUCAGUACAGACACACAACCAGUAGGUCACGCGUCAGUACAGACACACAACCAGUAGGUCACGCGUCAGUACAGACACACAACCAGUAGGUCACGCGUCAGUACAGACACACAACCAGUAGGUCACGCGUCAGUACAGACACACAACCAGUAGGUCACGCGUCAGUACAGACACACAACCAGUAGGUCACGCGUCAGUACAGACACACAACCAGUAGGUCACGCGUCAGUACAGACACACAACCAGUAGGUCACGCGUCAGUACAGACACACAACCAGUAGGUCACGCGUCAGUACAGACACACAACCAGUAGGUCACGCGUCAGUACAGACACACAACCAGUAGGUCACGCGUCAGUACAGACACACAACCAGUAGGUCACGCGUCAGUACAGACACACAACCAGUAGGUCACGCGUCAGUACAGACACACAACCAGUAGGUCACGCGUCAGUACAGACACACAACCAGUAGGUCACGCGUCAGUACAGACACACAACCAGUAGGUCACAUGGGGGAGAGGAAUUGUGCCGUGGGGUGUUGCUUUAUUUGUUUUAUUUGAAACCAGGUUUGCUGUUCAUUUGCGCGACAUAAAAUGGACUCAUGGCUCUGUGUAACACUGUUUCCUUGAAUUUGUUCUGGACCUGGGGACUGGUGGUGGCAUGUCUGGUGGGGGGUGUGUGUCAGCACUGUUGACUAAUGCAAACCAUUUGGAAUUUCCAACACAUUAAUGUUUCUUAUAAAAAUAAGUGAUGUUGUCAGUCUCUUCUCAACUCCAAGCCGAGAGAGCCGGUCUCUUCUCAACUCCAAGCCGAGAGAGCCGGUCUCUUCUCAACUCCAAGCCGAGAGAGCCGGUCUCUUCUCAACUCCAAGCCGAGAGAGACUGGCUGCAUAGUAUUUCUCUAAGCCCUCUGGUUACAAUGAAGAGCAAAACGUGUUCGGGGAAGGUGCUGCUUCCUCUCUGGGAGAGACACAGUCCACUGCUGAUAGAUAAACACACUGCCAGAACGCUCCAGUCUGUAGGUACUACGGUGAUCUUUCCCUAAGUGGAGUGUGCAGUUCUUACCAGAGGUCGGCCGUAAAGUGUGUAUACCAGAGCAGAGUGUCUGUACUUCAUCUGCAGAAUCCCUACCCUGAUGUCCACAGCGUCUCCUCAGACAGUCUACCUUAGUUUCACUGGCUGCUUUAUGUGAUUGGUUUCUUUACUGGGCUACAGAUAACAGGUCACUUCAACAGGGACUGAUGGUGGAAUGUGAUACGAGCUAUAGGUUGAUAAACCCUAUGGAACAGAGUCUAUCAGUGGUAAAUUCACCAUUCAACUUAUUAUGUUUGAAAUAUGGGGACAUUAGACCUUUGAAAGUUAAAUGGAAAACACUUCAAAGGAUGAAUUGUUUAAUGCAUUUAUUGUUAGUGGAAUUUCUAAAUUCCUGUAUGUUUUGUAGCCAAAACCAAAUUCGCACUCAUUCUAAUUCAUUAAUGAUUUGUAAGUUCAUUAAUUAUGCAUGAAGUAGAUCGAGACCAGUCUUAAAAGCCAGGUAACAGCGUUUAAUUCAAGAGAGUACUGCCACAUACACAUAUUUCCACAGGUUAUAAACUGAAAAUGACGUCAGCGUUUUCUAAACGUUCUAUCUAUUUCACCAGUAGAGGGGCCCCCUAGCUCUCGAGCCUUCGCGUUAUCAGCACGAAGUCAAGGUCAGUCAGUAUAAAUCAGCAUUCUAGACAGUCUGGAGAUCGGCCGUUCCUGCCACCUGGAGAUUGUACAAAUUAAUGAACUAAGGAACAGACCUUCAUUGUUACUAAACUCCUGACUACAUUAUAUACAAUUGGGAAUGGGGGCAAGAGAGAGAAUUCAUAUGUACAGUACAUUAUAGCUUUUGGACUAGUCAGUUCUGAUUGGAAUGUAUACAUAAUUAGUCAUUUCAACCAUAAUUUCCUCUAACAAUUUUACUCAGCACUGCACUUCAUAUGGGUCAUACAAAGUCUGUCCUCUGUACUUACCAGAAUUCAACAACCAACCAUGUUUGAGGAAUGUUUUUGAAUGAACACUAUCUAUUUCCAAAUGAUUCAACUUCCCUUACCUCUGUCCUCUCCCGUCUACACCCCAGGGUUGUAGGGAACUAAAGGAACUUAUAAUCCUUCUCCACGGAGCACAUUUUUUUGGCCAUCAUUAAUGCAACUGAUUCCUCCCC